rnacentral:rRNA from 1 species
AUUCCAGCUCCAAUAGUGUACAUUAAAGUUGUUGCAGUUAUAAAGCCUGUAGCUGGAUUUCUGGUGUCGCUGUGCUUCCGCGUGUUUAAUUACAUGUCAAGUUGUGUUUGCGUCGCCAUCUUUUAGCAGCACCCUCCUGGCAUUAGGUUGUUGGGUUGGUAAUGCAAAUCGUUUACUGUGAAGAAAUUAGAGUGUUCAAAGCAGGCUUAUGCCGUUGAAUACGUUAGCAUGGAAUUAUGAGAUAGGACCUUGAUACUAUUUUGUUGGUUUGUGCACCAUGGUAAUGAUUAAUAGGGACAGUUGGGGGUAUUCGUAUUCCAUUGUCAGAGGUGAAAUUCUUGGAUUUAUGGAAGACGAACUACUGCGAAAGCAUUUACCAAGGAUGUUUUCAUCG